rnacentral:ncRNA from 1 species
CCACGCUCUACAUGCCAAUAUUUCUUCCCGUCAGGCGAUGACGAUGCAGGAAGCCGGUGAGAAUCCGGCGCGGUCCCGCCACUGUCACCGGGGAGCGACCCUCAUAAGCCACGGCCACAGGCUGGAAGGCGAGGCAAGCAACGAUCCGGGAGCCAGGAGACUCGCGUCAUCGCGUCCUGCCACC